CCUCGGAGAGUUUGAUCCUGGCUCAGGACGAACGCUGGCGGCGUGCCUAAUACAUGCAAGUCGAGCGAACAGAAGGGAGCUUGCUCCCGGAUGUUAGCGGCGGACGGGUGAGUAACACGUGGGUAACCUGCCUGUAAGACUGGGAUAACUCCGGGAAACCGGAGCUAAUACCGGAUAGUUCCUUGAACCGCAUGGUUCAAGGAUGAAAGACGGUUUCGGCUGUCACUUACAGAUGGACCCGCGGCGCAUUAGCUAGUUGGUGGGGUAAUGGCUCACCAAGGCGACGAUGCGUAGCCGACCUGAGAGGGUGAUCGGCCACACUGGGACUGAGACACGGCCCAGACUCCUACGGGAGGCAGCAGUAGGGAAUCUUCCGCAAUGGACGAAAGUCUGACGGAGCAACGCCGCGUGAGUGAUGAAGGUUUUCGGAUCGUAAAGCUCUGUUGUUAGGGAAGAACAAGUGCGAGAGUAACUGCUCGCACCUUGACGGUACCUAACCAGAAAGCCACGGCUAACUACGUGCCAGCAGCCGCGGUAAUACGUAGGUGGCAAGCGUUGUCCGGAAUUAUUGGGCGUAAAGGGCUCGCAGGCGGUUUCUUAAGUC
rnacentral:rRNA from 1 species